CAGCCGCCGCGGUAAUACAGAGGGUGCAAGCGUUAAUCGGAAUUACUGGGCGUAAAGCGCGCGUAGGUGGUUUGUUAAGUUGGAUGUGAAAUCCCCGGGCUCAACCUGGGAACUGCAUCCAAAACUGGCAAGCUAGAGUAUGGUAGAGGGUGGUGGAAUUUCCUGUGUAGCGGUGAAAUGCGUAGAUAUAGGAAGGAACACCAGUGGCGAAGGCGACCACCUGGACUGAUACUGACACUGAGGUGCGAAAGCGUGGGGAGCAAACAGGAUUAGAUACCCCUGUAGUCCCUGUCUCUAUACC
rnacentral:rRNA from 1 species